UACGUAGGGGGCAAGCGUUGUCCGGAAUCAUUGGGCGUAAAGAGCGUGUAGGCGGCCCGGUAAGUCCGCUGUGAAAGUCCAGGCUCAACCCUGGGAUGCCGGUGGAUACUGUCGGGCUCGAGUCCGGAAGAGGAGUGUGGAAUUCCGUGGUGUAGCGGUGAAAUGCGCAGAUAUCAGGAGGAACACCAAUGGCGAAGGCAGCACUCUGGGACGUGACUGACGCUGAGACGCGAAAGCGUGGGAGC
rnacentral:rRNA from 1 species